rnacentral:lncRNA from 1 species
GUAAACGAAAACGAAUUUUUGCAAGAGUGUACUGGUCAUCUAGAAAAUUUGAUAAGUCGAUGCCACGGAAACGUUUUGUUUGUAAAUAAUCGUUUAACGCAGCUCUAUGAAAUCGAUGAUCAAUGGAAUCAUAUAAAUACUUUUAUUGAAAAAAUUCAAAACCAGAAUGAUGGUUCUUAUUACAGCAAUGGAUUAUUUCAAGCAAUAGAGGAAACCCUAGAAAAGAGAAUACUGGUGGCGGCAAAUACGGGAUCGCCACAACUGUAGCAUUAGUAAAUGAAUCGCGUGCACUACUUCAAUGGAAUAUUGCUGAGAAUGACUGUACUGCGUCAGAUCUUAAUAACGUUUUAAUCGAUAUUGCAAAAUGGAUGUGGCGUCAUUCAAAAAAGUUUUUAUACUCUUAUAUAUUCCCAAAGCAAUAACCGAAUAUUUAUGUUCGAUAUCAU